rnacentral:rRNA from 1 species
AUUGAACGCUGGCGGCAGGCUUAACACAUGCAAGUCGAGCGGAGCGAGGGUGCUUGCACCUUAGCUUAGCGGCGGACGGGUGAGUAAUGCUUAGGAAUCUGCCUAUUAGUGGGGGACAACAUUCCGAAAGGAAUGCUAAUACCGCAUACGCCCUACGGGGGAAAGCAGGGGACCUUCGGGCCUCACGCUAUUCGAGCGGCCGACGUCUGAUUAGCUAGUAGGUGAGGUAAGAGCUAACCUAGGCGACGAUCAGUAGCGGGUCUGAGAGGAUGAUCCGCCACACUGGGACUGAGACACGGCCCAGACUCCUACGGGAGGCAGCAGUGGGGAAUUUUGGACAAUGGGCGCAAGCCUGAUCCAGCCAUGCCGCGUGUCUGAAGAAGGCCUUCGGGUUGUAAAGGACUUUUGUCAGGGAGGAAAUCCUAGUGGCUAAUAACUGCUGGGGAUGACAGUACCUGAAGAAUAAGCACCGGCUAACUACGUGCCAGCCGCCGCAGUAAGAC